rnacentral:rRNA from 1 species
CAGUAGCCGCGGUAAUACGAAGGGUGCAAGCGUUACUCGGAAUUACUGGGCGUAAAGCGUGUGUAGGUGGUUGUUUAAGUCUGUCGUGAAAGCCCUGGGCUCAACCUGGGAAUUGCGAUGGAUACUGGGCGACUAGAGUGCGGUAGAGGAUAGUGGAAUUUCCGGUGUAGCAGUGAAAUGCGUAGAGAUUGGAAGGAACAUCUGUGGCGAAGGCGACUAUCUGGGCCAACACUGACACUGAGACACGAAAGCGUGGGGAGCAAACAGGAUUAGAUACCCCCGUAGUCCCUGUCUCUUAUAC